rnacentral:tRNA from 3 species
GGAGGGAUGGAUGAGUGGUUUAAGUCGCACGCCUGGAAAGCGUGUAGGGGUGAAUAGCCCCUCGGGGGUUCGAAUCCCCCUCCCUCCGCCA